rnacentral:lncRNA from 1 species
ACAUUGAGCUCUGACAUCUGCACAUGAGAGGAGGAGUCUUGCCUGUGGUCUAGCCACACACUUUUAUAUAAUAGAUAGUGACCGCUUCAAAGAGAGACACAGACAAGAAUGAGAACUUGCUAUUUAAGCACUGAGCCAUUGACAGGUGUCAAUCCACAUAAAAGGAACCAACUCUUCCUCUCCCUUCCUUGUCCUCAGUCUGCAAAGUUUUAACAAGUUAAUCUCUCAUCCAAUAUAAAUCCAAUCACACCUCUAACUGUCUUCGCUGCUCUUCUCCAAUCUCUGCUUUAUCUUUCUUGCGGGGAGCCAGUGACAACUGAGCUCAGUAAUCCAGAUGGUAAUGAACAAGAUUUCUUCGACGCUGGUGGCAGUAAAGGCAAAUUAAUGAAAGUUUUCUACAUAGUUCUUAAGAGCAAAAGUCUGCAAAGAUCUGAGGGAAGUUUGGCAGGCCUUCAUCCAUCUCCCAUAUGAGCCUGUACACACAUUAUUAUAAGAAUAACUGGAUUCUUUGAGAAGGCCACCUAAAUCAGAAAGACCAGAAGGUGAGACUACAUGGAUUAAUAAUGUACAUUGAGUGAGGAAAUGUAUCUAUUUAUUGUAAAGAUAGACAUUUUUAUCGUGCUUAUCACUCUGGAUAAAGAUACAUCAAAAUACCUCUAAGAAGUAGAGGUUGCUGGCUCUCUCUUAUUAAGAUG